rnacentral:lncRNA from 1 species
CAGCGUGUAGCCUCCAUUCUAUCUUGACAGUUUGGUACUUCAGUCUUUGCACAAGAAUUGACAUCUCAGGAUGUAUCUGAUCAGACAUUGAUCCCUCACAUUUCCAUUAUUUUUCAGAUGAUUACUGAUCAGUCGGUAUGCAUUAAGCAGCUUGAGAGUUGUAUAUUGAGACUGAAUGGCAGAGUACUUGACUUGCAGGGGCAAGUGUUAGCUCUAGCCCAUCCACAGCCGCAUGAGAGCAUCAUAGAGGUCUUAGACCUAUCUGCAGAGGCGGCCAGACUUCGAGGAGUCUUAGAGAGUGGUUUUGACUUCUUGAGGAGAGAGAUCAGGGGCUCUAGUGAACAUGCUUCUACUCAGUUCAGUGUCCUGAUGCAGUCUGUCUCGAGAGCUUUGAAUCUUCUGGACACCAUCAGACUCUCACUCGUACUCAGUCCAUAGCUUCUCAGGCUUCAGGAUCUUCUCACCCCUCUACUCAUGCUGGCACCUCUACCCGUGGCCGAGGCAGACGCGAUCGAGGUCGAGCUCGUGGACAUGAUCCUACAUCUCCUCAUCCUAUCUCUGAUUCAUCAGACUCCGAUCCUUCCAGCCAUGAUAUCUAUUAGAUCCAGUGUAGUCUGUCCUUUCUUUUAUUUUUGUCUAGGAUCUAUCUUGUGGGCUAUGUAAUAUGUUGACUGAUUGACUCUUGGAUAGUUUCUAUCUAUGAAUUUUGUACUCUAAGUUGACUCAUAUGUAUUGAAACACCUAUGUAUUC